rnacentral:rRNA from 1 species
CCUACGGGUGGCAGCAGUGGGGAAUAUUGGACAAUGGGCGAAAGCCUGGUCCAGCCAUGCCGCGUGUGUGAAGAAGGCCUUCGGGUUGUAAAGCACUUUCAGUGGGGAAGAAAGCCUUGGGGCUAAUACCCUCGAGGAAGGACAUCACCCACAGAAGAAGCACCGGCUAACUCCGUGCCAGCAGCCGCGGUAAUACGGAGGGUGCGAGCGUUAAUCGGAAUUACUGGGCGUAAAGCGCGCGUAGGCGGUCUGAUAAGCCGGUUGUGAAAGCCCCGGGCUCAACCUGGGAACGGCAUCCGGAACUGUCAGGCUAGAGUGCAGGAGAGGAAGGUAGAAUUCCCGGUGUAGCGGUGAAAUGCGUAGAGAUCGGGAGGAAUACCAGUGGCGAAGGCGGCCUUCUGGACUGACACUGACGCUGAGGUGCGAAAGCGUGGGUAGCAAACAGGAUUAGAUACCCGUGUAGUC